rnacentral:misc_RNA from 1 species
GAUGAAGAACGCAGCGAAAUGCGAUAAGUAAUGUGAAUUGCAGAAUUCAGUGAAUCAUCGAAUCUUUGAACGCACAUUGCGCCCCCUGGUAUUCCGGGGGGCAUGCCUGUCCGAGCGUCAUUACAACCCUCAAGCUCAGCUUGGUGUUGGGCCCCGCCGCCCCGGCGGGCCCUAAAGUCAGUGGCGGUGCCGUCCGGCUCCGAGCGUAGUAAUUCUUCUCGCUCUGGAGGUCCGGUCGUGUGCUCGCCAGCAACCCCCAAUUUUUUUCAGGUUGACCUCGGAUCAGGUAGGAAGACCCGCUGAACUUAAGCAUAUCAAUAAGCGGAGGA